UACAUAAAGCGCCAUAAGGGAAGUUUGCAUCCCCGUUAGAAAGGGGGUGAUAUAAUGUCAACUGAAGCUUACCAAGCUCUAAUGGUAUUGACCAAUCAUCAUUAUUUAGUUUGGGUUCUUUAAUUGUUGCCUUGUUGACUUAUAAAAACAAAAAAUAGACUCUCCCUUGAGCGUAGGAAACUUAAAGGGAUAAGUCUAUCAUGAAAAAUAUGCGAGCAAGCUCCCUUAAGGACAGCUUGUGUACAGACCGGAGUGUUGGCGCACUCCGG
rnacentral:sRNA from 1 species